AGAUGAAUAUUGGAGCUAAGUCACCAUUGGUUGAGAAUUUUAAGAAGCCUCAAGGAACUUUAGCAAAUCCUCUUGAGACUCUGAAGCAUAAGUUUAUAUAUACGGAUCAUGGAGUAUAUUAUGCUGGUUAUCUUGUGGUGAAUUAUCAUAAAUUAGGCAUAUGUUCUGGUGAAUUAUCUUAUUAACUUCCUUGAUUAUACAAUUUCAUAUCUUUUUGGUGGUUAUCUUUUGCUGACUGGAUGCAGA